rnacentral:rRNA from 1 species
UACGAAGGGGGCUAGCGUUGCUCGGAAUCACUGGGCGUAAAGGGUGCGUAGGCGGCUCUUUCAGUCAGGGGUGAAAUCCUGGAGCUCAACUCCAGAACUGCCUUUGAUACUGAGGAGCUUGAGUUCGGGAGAGGUGAGUGGAACUGCGAGUGUAGAGGUGAAAUUCGUAGAUAUUCGCAAGAACACCAGUGGCGAAGGCGGCUCACUGGCCCGAUACUGACGCUGAGGCACGAAAGCGUGGGGAGCAAACAGG